rnacentral:lncRNA from 1 species
AGUGCAAUACCAUAAACCUUGAAUAACACCAUGGGACCCAUAUGAAGGGCCACUAGGAAUGCUGGAAGUGCUCCCAAGAAGCAGAGACCAGUCAUGACUUUACAAGAAGUUGAAUUGCUCAAGUCUUGCUCUGUUGUCCAGGCUGGAGUGCAAUGUCACCAUCUCGGCUCACUGCAACCUCCACCUCCCAGGUUCAAACGAUUCUCCUGCCUCAGCCUCCCGAGUAGCCGGGACUACAGGUAGAGACACUUUUGACUUGAUCUCUGCAGUCCUCAACAUGCCAUCUUCUAUCCCGAGGGCAGCCAUCUUCUAUCCUGAGGGAAGCUGGCCUGAGGAUGAAGCCAGAAUAUGGAGAAGAGGAGGAGGAGAUAGCUGAGGAGCAGAACAGAAACCUGAACUGCAUUUUUCUUAGAGCAAGAAUUGCAUCAAUUCUUCAAACCAAGUUGAGCACUGUUGGUUUCCGUUACUUGGAACUUAAUAAAAUCUGACAGAUACUGUACAAGGAACAGUACUUGGGGAGCUCCACUUUAUCUGAGGCAUUCGUGAGUGGCUUGUGUCACAUUCCUGGCUGUUCAGGCAUCAGUCCUGGUUUCCUGAUGAGCUCUCGGCUGACUCCACCCAGAGCUCUCUUGCUUCCUUCUCUGCAUUAGCUACCUCCGUUCUCACACAUGGCUUCUUCUGA